rnacentral:lncRNA from 1 species
CCCCGGGCGCCGCACGCUCGCGGGACGGAAGCUGCUCACUGCGCGUGUGGCGCGGUCGCCCGCCUCCGUGUGCGUCUGCGUGUGGUGUGGUCGCGGGCUGAGACGGGCCCGGGUUCACGUGGGAACCAAUGACAGGAUGUGCUUUCUGCAGCAAAGAUAAAAGAAACCUCACUAGUAAAGACGCACGUAGGAAUUAGGGGCGGGGCCUCACGGACCUCACACCAAGCGCUCGCUGCGGCGUCAGACGGUCAGCGCGCGCUCGCCGGUUUGCAGUUGAUGAGCCACCGCAGCAAUUUGAAUGCCUCCACUGCUUCACAGUGUGUGACGUGAAGAAAAACCCAUUACCCGUCAAAUGUGGGACCGGAACCAAAAUGCAGAACUAACAAAAACAACGAAAUUACCCUUAAUUGCCAGUGUUGCUGCCUAAAUAAUGAAAUAAAGAACAGCGUGGCGGCUGAGGCAAUAAUCCCGUGGAUUCGCGUUGUCACGAUGACGUGUUGACAAUGAAACUGAACUGUGCCAGAGGAGAGGACUGUUAGCGCCGCUGAAGCAUCCACGAGUCCUCUGUGCAGAACGCUGAGAUUGACUCAGACUCAGAGUCAUAAAACAGCAGCUCUGCAGCCGUGAGUCCGAGUCUCCGUCCACAAAUCAAAGCCUUCACUGCUCAGAACCAGAACCCGAGCUGCCCCUGGUGCUUCUACAUUCACCACGUGCUGGUACCAGUGGAACCAGUUCCUGCUCAGUUUCCCACAGUUCUGAUGCAUGUAAAUCAGCUGAUCACCUGCAGCUCAUUAAGAGAAAACAGUCAAAGAACACCAGCCAUUAAAUUACAAUAGAUCUAAUUAAUGCUGUUUAAUU